rnacentral:rRNA from 1 species
GAUGAACGCUGGCGGCGUGCCUAAUACAUGCAAGUCGAGCGAACAGACGAGGAGCUUGCUCCUCUGACGUUAGCGGCGGACGGGUGAGUAACACGUGGAUAACCUACCUAUAAGACUGGGAUAACUUCGGGAAACCGGAGCUAAUACCGGAUAAUAUAUUGAACCGCAUGGUUCAAUAGUGAAAGACGGUUUUGCUGUCACUUAUAGAUGGAUCCGCGCCGCAUUAGCUAGUUGGUAAGGUAACGGCUUACCAAGGCAACGAUGCGUAGCCGACCUGAGAGGGUGAUCGGCCACACAGGAACUGAGACACGGUCCAGACUCCUACGGGAGGCAGCAGUAGGGAAUCUUCCGCAAUGGGCGAAAGCCUGACGGAGCAAAGCCGCGUGAGUGAUGAAGGUCUUCGGAUCGUAAAACUCUGUUAUUAGGGAAGAAAAAAUGUGUAAGUAAAUAUGCACGUCUUGACGGUACCUAAUCAGAAAGCCACGGCUAACUACGUGC